rnacentral:rRNA from 1 species
AGGGAAUCUUCCGCAAUGGACGCAAGUCUGACGGAGCGACGCCGCGUGAACGAAGAAGGCCUUCGGGUCGUAAAGUUCUGUUGUCAGGGAAGAACAAGUAUUGUUCGAACAGGGCAAUACCUUGACGGUACCUGACGAGAAAGCCCCGGCUAACUACGUGCCAGCAGCCGCGGUAAUACGUAGGGGGCGAGCGUUGUCCGGAAUUAUUGGGCGUAAAGGGUGCGUAGGCGGUCUUCUAAGUCCGAUGUGAAAGCCCCCGGCUCAACCGGGGAGAGCCAUUGGAAACUGGGAGACUUGAGUGCAGAAGAGGAGAGCGGAAUUCCAUGUGUAGCGGUGAAAUGCGUAGAGAUAUGGAGGAACACCAGUGGCGAAGGCGGCUCUCUGGUCUGCAACUGACGCUGAGGCACGAAAGCGUGGGGAGCAAAC